rnacentral:lncRNA from 1 species
AUGUUCGCUCAGGGACAUGACGACAUCUUAGAUCGGUCACAGUCUGACAGUGACGUGGAUUGGGAGCCUCAAAGUAGGACACUCAGACGCCAAACCCCAUCUCCUGCUGAAGGUGGUCGGCAGAUGCGGCAACGAUCGUCUGCAUCCACCAGUGCUACCUCCCCCGCUGCAUCUUUCACUGCCCCCUCUGGCUCAGGGGAAGCUGCAGCUUCUACACCAACUGCUGGACGUCCCGUGCUGCCAGACGUGCCCGGGGGAGGGGCAGAAGAGGAGGAUCCUCCAGAGCACAUAGCUCCCACACGGAGGAACAACAGUGGCAUGAUGUGGGGGAUGACGACGUUGAGCCUGCUCAAGUUGCCUUCAUGCCGGUGAGACAGCCCGGACCACAGCAGGAGACCAGAGUGGCAACCAGUCCACUGCAGUUUUUCAGACUGUUUUUCACCGACGCAGUGCUUGGGACUUUGAUGGCAAACACUAAUAUUUUGUUGAUAUUGGCACAGUUAUACAUACAGUAAUAGUGUAUUGAUAGAUAAUACAAUCCUUGUUUGAAAUUCAGUUCAGUAUAGUCUGUCAUUUUUGUAUAAUGGUAACUAUUCUGUAGUGUCUUGUCACAUGACAAUAUCUCAAUAUGGCCACCUAGAAGCGUGUGGAAACCCCUCCAACCACCCAUCAAAUGAAUGUGUGAAUAAAUUAUGUUUUGAAUCAUGGAGAAAGGUUUUAUAGUCACCAGAAUGCUUCAGUAAUGUUUCCAGUGUCACAGAAGUGAGUAAAAGCAUUUGGCACAAUUUGGCCAUUUGGAGACGUUUUGGAGAGGUUCGUGGACGCCAGUGACACCACAAACUAAAACCUCCAUAACUCCCAUAAGGGUAGGCCUAGAAGUCUAAAAUUUCACCCAGGUGUAGUUGACAAGAUGAGGACGGUAUGUGCUAUAUUGCCAUAUGCCUUACAUAAAGCACAUCCUAGUUAUUGUUAUUCAAAUAUGACCUAUUAUUUCGAAGACAAAAAAAAUGUUUUAGAGCCAUGUUUGAACUGAUGUCAUUUUGGUUGUGUGUAUGGUACAUGCAAAAUAAACACAUUCACAGAAACUAGAGGUUGUCAGCUUUCAAAUGGCGUAUCAUACAUCCAUCUCGGACUUGUAGUUCUUGUGUUAUCAGCUUUUCCAUUUGGGUAUGCUAAAUAGGUGAAGUUACUGAAAAUAGGUGGGUGCGAACAGGUUAACCAAUAAAAGCGAUGGCUCUCAAUGCUGAAUAGCGACAGGCGUAAACAAGUCUCUCCAGUUUCCUUCAGGGCCACCUGACAAUGGCAGACGGCCAAGUUCUGAAAUCUUGCUAGAAUACGCUUAUAGAAAUGUAGAAUAAAUCAUAUAUAGCCUAUACUAUGUCUAGUGAGACCAUAUAAGCAACAAUAACCUACAGUACAUAUAGUCAACUCAAGACAGUCAACACACACAUCCUGUCGCCUUUGACUGACAUGUCAUGAGCCCAAUUAGACAAGUCACAAUGUCAACAGGCCGGUACCAUCCCCCCCAAAACCCCUCUGGAAGGCAUUCCUUUACCUGUCAAAAAUUCAUAUUGCUGAGAAAAAGCGUGGAGGGGGAGCUGCAUUAUUACACACACACAUCACAACAUCACACGCACAGAUCGCCCACUGUUGUUGGCUUUAGACUGACACUGUUUGAGUGCAUGUAAGACGAAGAGAGAGAAAAAAAAAGCCAAGAAUUAGCCUGAGCCCAACAGCCCUGUUUGUCUUUUUAAAAGCCGCAAAGGCGCAGUGUAAAUACUGAGUCCAAAACAGCGCUUGAAUCGGUAUGAGUCACCUUCCCACCCACUUCGGACGAAAUGUUCACUACUGUCUAACACAUUUCACUUCGUAUGUAAAACACGCACACACAAACACACACACACACACAUCAGACAGCAACAGUUUUCGGGGUCUUUGGAGCCCCCUUUUUUUUUUUUUUACCUUCGACUGAGAGCGCCUCUUGCAAAAUGUUGGAGACUUGGGAGGAUUUAUCCGUGUUUUGGUCCGUAACUUCCCGAGCAGAGCAUCUGUUCGUGUCGGCAGAGAAGGAGAAGCGGAGUGAAGCGCUGAGCACCGUCACACCGUCACACCGGCGUCUGCCGCCUUUAUUCGGCCGGUGAGUUUGUGUGUCUCCGGCGGGGAGAAAAACAAGAGCCCCGGUCCACGGCGGUCUCCUCCAUCACCAUCACCAUCAGCACCACCGAGCUUUACAUUCACCUAUAGAGGCGUUGAGAGGCUACACAUACACAUGCAGUCAGGCAGACAGGCAGGCAGACAAAUAUGUAGGCAGGUAGAUGUAGAGGAGGGCUGCCGCUGUCUGUCUGUCAGGCGAGGGGGGAUAGAUACUGAGAUACUGCUGCACCCGAGCGACCAACUCCAGAGAGAGAGAGAGACACACACACACACACACACACACACACACACACACACACACACACAGAUAGAUAGAGAGACAGAGAGAGAGAGAGAGAGAGAGAGAGAGAGAGAGACACACACACACACACACACACACAGAGCGAGAGAGAGAGAAGGCAAACCACAAGUGAAAGGCUUCACUGUAUUUAGGCAGACAGUCAUUCAGUAUAUUAG